rnacentral:rRNA from 2 species
UACGUAGGGGGCUAGCGUUAUCCGGAAUUACUGGGCGUAAAGGGUGCGUAGGUGGUUUCUUAAGUCAGAGGUGAAAGGCUACGGCUCAACCGUAGUAAGCCUUUGAAACUGGGAAACUUGAGUGCAGGAGAGGAGAAUGGAAUUCCUAGUGUAGCGGUGAAAUGCGUAGAUAUUAGGAGGAACACCAGUUGCGAAGGCGGCUCUCUGGACUGUAACUGACACUGAGGCACGAAAGCGUGGGGAGCAAACAGG